CCUACGGGAGGCAGCAGUGAGGAAUAUUGGUCAAUGGACGAGAGUCUGAACCAGCCAAGUAGCGUGAAGGAUGAAUGCCCUAUGGGUUGUAAACUUCUUUUAUAAAGGAAUAAAACGAGGCACGUGUGCCUUUUUGCAUGUACUUUAUGAAUAAGGAUCGGCUAACUCCGUGCCAGCAGCCGCGGUAAUACGGAGGAUCCGAGCGUUAUCCGGAUUUAUUUGGUUUAAAGGGAGCGUAGAUGGGUUGUUAAGUCAGUUGUGAAAGUUUGCGGCUCAACCGUAAAAUUGCAAUUGAUACUGGCAGUCUUGAGUACAGUUGAGGUGAGCGGAAUUCGUGGUGUAGCGGUGAAAUGCUUAGAUAUCACGAAGAACCCCGAUUGCGAAGGCAGCUUACUAAACUGUGACUGACAUUGAUGCUCGAAAGUGUGGGUAUCAAACAGGAUUAGAUACCCCUGUAGUC
rnacentral:rRNA from 1 species